UGCUGCAACAGUGCUCGGCUUCUUCUCGCCUUUCCAAGCAAGAGUAAAAUUCAGGCUCGUCACUUGGCCGACAGGAUUCGUUCAGAUCUCUUCUAGAGCCUGAGAGAGCGCACGUGGAUCGGCAUAUUGGAUUCUGUACCAGGGGUUGACAAGAUUAAGUUGAGACUCUCACCGUUCAAAGUCGAGUUGACGCAGCCCCAAAAUUCCGUCUGAAAGGAAAAGUAAAGAAAAGUUGAAGACGAGGGUGAUCCAGAAAAAAAGCGAAAAUUGAGCCGAACUAUUUUUCUUCGAAUAUCUAUCUAUCGUAUAAAAACGGAUGGAAAAAGUUGGAAGGAUUCAAGGAACAUGGAAAGGAAGAAAAAAACGGUACAGCUGUGUGUCUCUCGAUGGGAAUUUCCACGAUUCUGAAUGCAAGGUACGACGCAUUAGAAGUUAUUAAGAAUCAAGGACACGAGUACGCUUCGGUCGCCACGAUUUCCUGUUGCUCGUCACUGAAUGACAAUAAACCGCAUAGACAUCGACUGUUCUACCAUUUAGGGGUUCAUUCGGAAUUCAAUCGACGUACACUACGAGGACAUACAGGUCUAUUCCGUAGUCUCGUCACGGUUACAAGUUACGACUAUCCAUCGGCGUGUGGUGGGUCCUGUUAGGUUCUUGGACCACAGCCUGGAUUACAGGAAGAUCGAGAGUUUGUUACAAGCAGUGUUCGCAAAAGAAUCGUAGAGUGAUCAUCAAAUAUUCUUGAAAGUCUUGUGAGUAUUGUUAGCGAGUAUUUUUGUUGGUGAGCACGCACUUUCGUAGGAUUCAUUGGAAAGAUCUAUUUUUUCAAGUUGAAGUGUUACCACAUGUUUUUUCCGGUUGUGAGUGUACAGUAGAAAAUAGAGAAAAAGAUACCUUGGAGCAGACAUUGCGACAAGAUCCGGCAG